UUAUUUUUAGUUCUUAUUUUGCUGUACAUUAUUGCUGUUUACAGUUUAUCUCUAUCUAUAAUAAUAUUCAAGAUAAUAACAAAAAAACAGGCUCUCAAGUCGCUCACCUUGGUCUAUGUGCAUAUUAAACAAUGGACACAGAUAAAUUCAUGACAUAAUUGUGUUUUGGUGAUGGUGAUGUGUUUGUAGAUCUUACUUUACUGAACAUUCUUGUUGCUACAAUUAUCUCAAUCUAUAAUGAACUUGGCCCAGUAUUACAGUGGAAAAUAUUUUCUAAAAAUUUACAAAAAUUAUGAAAAAUGCUAAAAAUUAACUAUAAAGGGCAAUAACUCCUUAUGGGGUCAAUUGACUAUUUUGGUCAUGAAACUUAUUUGUAGAUCUUGUUUUGCUGAACAUUAUUGCUGUUUAUAGUUUAUCUCUAUCUAUAAUAAUAUUCAAGAUAAUAACAAAAAACGGCAAAAUUUCCUUAAAAUUACCAACUCAGG
rnacentral:lncRNA from 1 species